CUACGUGCCAGCAGCCGCGGUAAUACGUAGGUGGCAAGCGUUGUCCGGAUUUAUUGGGCGUAAAGCGAGCGCAGGCGGUUUGAUAAGUCUGAAGUUAAAGGCUGUGGCUCAACCAUAGUUCGCUUUGGAAACUGUCAAACUUGAGUGCAGAAGGGGAGAGUGGAAUUCCAUGUGUAGCGGUGAAAUGCGUAGAUAUAUGGAGGAACACCGGUGGCGAAAGCGGCUCUCUGGUCUGUAACUGACGCUGAGGCUCGAAAGCGUGGGGAGCGAACAGGAUUAGAUACCCUGGUAGUCCACGCCGUAAACGAUGAGUGCUAGGUGUUGGAUCCUUUCCGGGAUUCAGUGCCGCAGCUAACGCAUUAAGCACUCCGCCUGGGGAGUACGACCGCAAGGUUGAAACUCAAAGGAAUUGACGGGGGCCCGCACAAGCGGUGGAGCAUGUGGUUUAAUUCGAAGCAACGCGAAGAACCUUACCAGGUCUUGACAUCCCGAUGCUAUUUCUAGAGAUAGAAAGUUA
rnacentral:rRNA from 1 species